rnacentral:rRNA from 1 species
GCCUACGGGAGGCAGCAGUGGGGAAUAUUGGACAAUGGGGGAAACCCUGAUCCAGCGACGCCGCGUGUGUGAAGAAGGCCUGCGGGUUGUAAAGCACUUUCGAUGGGAACGAAAUGUGUCGGGCUAAUACCCCGGCAAGCUGACGUUACUCAAUGAAGAAGCACCGGCUAACUCUGUGCCAGCAGCCGCGGUAAUACAGAGGGUGCAAGCGUUAAUCGGAAUUACUGGGCGUAAAGCGCACGUAGGUGGCGACGUAAGUCGGGUGUGAAAGCCGCGGGCUCAACCUGGGAAUUGCAUUCGAGACUGCAUUGCUGGAGUACGGAAGAGGAGGGCGGAAUUCCCGGUGUAGCGGUGAAAUGCGUAGAUAUCGGGAGGAACAUCAGUGGCGAAGGCGGCCCUCUGGUCCAGUACUGACACUCAAGUGCGAAAGCGUGGGGAGCAAACAGGAUUAGAUACCCGUGUAGUCU